rnacentral:sRNA from 1 species
ACUCAACACUAUUAUAAUUAGAAAGGGUGAGUUUAGGUUGUAAAAGCAGGCCCUACUUGUAUAGGGAUCCUUGAUCAGUCUGUUAGCCCUAAACCUGUAAUUAGGAGUUU